rnacentral:piRNA from 1 species
UAUUUGGUGAACUGAUAAGUUUUAUUGGC